rnacentral:rRNA from 1 species
GUACACGCUGUGACUAGCAUAUCAAUAAGCGGAGGAAAAGAAACUAACAAGGAUUCCCCUAGUAACGGCGAGUGAAGCGGGAAGAGCUCAAAUUUGAAAUCUUAAAGGGUUUCCCUUUACGAAUUGUAGUUUAAAGAAGUGUUUUCUGUUGAGGUUUUGGUAAAAGUUCUUUGGAAUAGGACAUCAUAGAGGGUGAGAAUCCCGUAUUUGACCUUUACUUUCAACUUUGUGAUACACUUUCAAAGAGUCGGAUUGUUUGGGAAUGCAGUCCAAAAUGGGUGGUAAAUUUCAUCUAAAGCUAAAUAUUGGCGAGAGACCGAUAGCGAACAAGUACCGUGAGGGAAAGAUGAAAAGAACUUUGAAAAGAGAGUUAAACAGUACGUGAAAUUGUCAAAAGGGAAGCGUUUGACACCAGUGUUGUUUUUCUGAAAAUCAAUUAAAGAACUGUUUAUGCUAAGCUGUUUAGACUUUAUCAGCUAUCUGUUUAGUUUUGAGCUUUUCUUUAAUGCACUUUUCAGUUAACAAGUCAACAUCAAUUUCUUUUGCUGUAAAAAAGCUUGAGGAAGAUGGCUUGAAAUUCGUCUUAAGUGUUUAUAGCCUCUUGCCUAUGCAGUCGGAGAGAUUGAGGUCUGCAGCGUAGAUCCUUCGGGGCUAAAUGCAUUUGUGCUAAGUUAUAGCAUUUUAUAGACAACUUGUUGACUAUGAUUUGUCUUGUAGCUUACUCGCUUAUGUUAUUUUACCUACGCUUAGGAUGUUGAAGAUGUAGACAUCAU